rnacentral:rRNA from 1 species
GACGAACGCUGGCGGCGUGCUUAACACAUGCAAGUCGAACGGAAAGGCCUCUUUCGGGGGGUACUCGAGUGGCGAACGGGUGAGUAACACGUGAGUAACCUGCCCUUGACUUUGGGAUAACUUCGGGAAACUGGGGCUAAUACCGGAUAGGAGCUCCUGCUGCAUGGUGGGGGUUGGAAAGUUUCGGCGGUUGGGGAUGGACUCGCGGCUUAUCAGCUUGUUGGUGGGGUAGUGGCUUACCAAGGCUUUGACGGGUAGCCGGCCUGAGAGGGUGACCGGCCACAUUGGGACUGGGAUACGGCCCAGACUCCUACGGGAGGCAGCAGUGGGGAAUAUUGCACAAUGGGUGGAAGCCUGAUGCAGCAACGCCGUGUGCGGGAUGACGGCCUUCGGGUUGUAAACCGCUUUCGCUCAUGACGAAGCUUUGUGUGACGGUAGUGGGUAAAGAAGCACCGGCUAACUACGUG